UACGAAGGGGACUAGCGUUGUUCGGAAUCACUGGGCGUAAAGCGCACGUAGGCGGAUGUGUCAGUCAGGGGUGAAAUCCCGGGGCUCAACCUCGGAACUGCCUUUGAUACAGCACGUCUCGAGUCCGGAAGAGGUGGGUGGAAUUCCUAGUGUAGAGGUGAAAUUCGUAGAUAUCAAGAGGAACACCUGAGGUGAAGACGGGUUGCUGGGCUGACACUGACGCUGAGGCGCGAAAGCCAGGGGAGCAAACGGG
rnacentral:rRNA from 1 species